rnacentral:rRNA from 1 species
CCUACGGGAGGCUGCAGUGGGGAAUAUUGCACAAUGGGCGCAAGCCUGAUGCAGCCAUGCCGCGUGUGUGAAGAAGGCCUUCGGAUUGUAAAGCACUUUCAGCGGGGAGGAAGGCGUUAAGGUUAAUAACCUUGGCGAUUGACGUUACCCGCAGAAGAAGCACCGGCUAACUCCGUGCCAGCAGCCGCGGUAAUACGGAGGGUGCAAGCGUUAAUCGGAAUUACUGGGCGUAAAGCGCACGCAGGCGGUCUGUCAAGUCGGAUGUGAAAUCCCCGGGCUCAACCUGGGAACUGCAUUCGAAACUGGCAGGCUAGAGUCUUGUAGAGGGGGGUAGAAUUCCAGGUGUAGCGGUGAAAUGCGUAGAGAUCUGGAGGAAUACCGGUGGCGAAGGCGGCCCCCUGGACAAAGACUGACGCUCAGGUGCGAAAGCGUGGGGAGCAAACAGGAUUAGAUACCCGAGUAGUC